rnacentral:rRNA from 1 species
UAGGGAAAGUUGCAAACACAUUUGAAGAGAGAGUUAAAGAGGACGUGAAACCGGUAAGGUGGAAACGGAUAGAGUCGGCGUAUCAUUCAAUUAUUCAGUUACAUUAUUUUUAUGUUGUGACCUCUGAGCUCCAGAUUGGGACAGAGGGAAUCAGCAUAAUUUUUUGUGGUGCAUUUACUUGAUUGGUGCUUGGGGAUGUUUGAUGCAGAUUUGUUUCCGUCGUUUUGAGGCCAGCUUGCUGGUACCCAAACGGUGUUAGCAUUUUUUGUCUUGGGCAUUUGAGUAUGGCUCACGUGUAUUUAUUGGACAGAUCUGAGUGUAAGUUACGGUCGCAUGCGACACGUGCUUUUCAAUUAGUUCGGUCCAGUUAAUGCUCUCGUACUCGUUCCCCAUGUAAAAGCCGGUCAUCUAUCCGACCCGUCUUGAAACACGGACCAAGGAGUUUAUCGUGUGCGCAAGUUUUUGGGUGUUAAAAACUUAAAAGCGAAAUGAAAGUAAAUGACUCUUUAGAGUCUGAUGUGCGAUCUUGUAAAAAAGUGUAGCAUGGCCCCAUUCUAACUGUUUACAGUAGGGUGUGCGGAAGAGCGUACGCGGUGAGACCCGAAAGAUCGGUGAACUAUUCCUGAGCAGGACGAAGCCAGAGGAAUACUCUGGUGCGAAGUCCGAAGCGGUUCUGACGUGCAAAUCGA